rnacentral:rRNA from 1 species
GAAUGAACGGCUAAAUGAGGACAAAACUGUCUCUUACGGACUAGCCAAUGAAAUUGAUCCUUCAGUACAAAAGCUGAAAUUAACCCAUAAGACGAGAAGACCCUGUGGAGCUUCAAAACCAAAACCACUAAACAUGCCUCCUGGUUUUUUAGUUGGGGCGACUUUGGAGCAAAAAAAACCCUCCAAAACAUAAAUCUAUUUAUUAAGAACAACACACCAAAAAUAAUAUUAUAGACCCAGCAGUAUUAAUUUACUGUCUGAUCAAUGAACCAAGUUACCCCAGGGAUAACAGCGCUAUCCUCUUCUAGAGU